GUAGAAGAUGCUUUGGGUUGUGGGCUCGGCCUAAGUUCCUUGGAACAGGACGUCAUAGAGGGUGAGAAUCCCGUAUGUGGCCAUGGCCCGCGCCUAUGUAAAGCUCUUUCGACGAGUCGAGUUGUUUGGGAAUGCAGCUCAAAAUGGGUGGUAAAUUUCAUCUAAAGCUAAAUAUGGGCCAGAGACCGAUAGCGCACAAGUAGAGUGAUCGAAAGAUGAAAAGCACUUUGGAAAGAGAGUUAAACAGUACGUGAAAUUGUUGAAAGGGAAGCGCUUGCAACCAGACUUGGGCGCUGCCGAUCACCCCGAGUUCUCUCGGGUGCACUCGACAGCGCACAGGCCAGCAUCGGUUCGGGUGGCUGGAUAAAGGCCGUAGGAAUGUAGCUCUCUUCGGAGAGUGUUAUAGCCCACGGUGCCAUGCAGCCCAGCCGGACCGAGGACCGCGCCUUCGGGCUAGGAUGCUGGCGUAAUGGUUGUAAGCGACCCGUCUUGAAACACGGACCAAGGAGUCUAACAUCUAUGCGAGUGUUUGGGCGUUAAACCCAUACGCGGAAUGAAAGUGAACGUAGGUGAGAUCCCCUUUGGGGCGCAUCAUCGACCGAUCCUGAUGUCUUCGGAUGGAUUUGAGUAAGAGCAUAGCUGUUGGGACCCGAAAGAUGGUGAACUAUGCCUGAAUAGGGUGAAGCCAGAGGAAACUCUGGUGGAGGCUCGCAGCGGUUCUGACGUGCAAAUCGAUCGUCAAAUUUGGGCAUAGGGGCGAAAGACUAAUCGAACCAUCUAGUAGCUGGUUCCUGCCGAAG
rnacentral:rRNA from 1 species